AUGGCAUCUCAUAGCCCCGUCUUCCUUGACGACAUCGUUUAUUUCCUAGACAUGAAUGGCAGGCUCGGAGUCGUGGACUUGAACGUGGAAAAGAUGGAGUGGAAGGUCCUUGACAAGCCAGAUCAACCGAUACGUGGAAGUGACUAUGUGUAUACAAUUGAGGAGUUGAACUAUAGCUAUCUAGCGGAGUGGAAAGGUGACCUAGUCGCCAUUAUCCGAGAAAACGGCAAUUUUGGGUUCAUCAGAGUACUUAAGCUUGAUUGGUCUAGGAUGGUUUGGAUGGAUUUGGAAGAGUUGGAGGAUGCUGCCGUGUUUCGGGAUAGAAGCAAUGCUCUAAUUGCAAGGCCAGCUUGCGGAAGAGAUUUAUGCAACAAGGUGUACUUUCCGAGCUGUACUAAGACUGACGAUGGUGGGCAGGCCUACUACUGCUUAAAAGAGCAAGAUUACUACCCUUUCUUUUGUGCCAAUGAGCCGAUGAAUGCCAUAUGGUUCGAGCCAAACUUGAAGGACGUACUUUAG
rnacentral:rRNA from 1 species